GUCAGUCAGCGUCUUUCCGCGUAGUGUCUGCUCCAUAAAAUAUGGUUUGGUUGAUUUCCUCACUGAAAUUAUCGUUCAUAUAGGUUCAUAUUUAUGAACUAUCACAAUUAAAACACAAAGACAUGACAGCAUUACUCGUGGUGACGACGGUCAUUAACAAGUGGAAUGGAAGAGAAGCGUUUUCUGGAAGAAAAGAAGUUCAUUGCGCGAGGCCUUGUCAAGUCAUUCAGCUUAGAGAAAUGCAUGUUAUUGGGCAAAUUGUGUAGACUGUCAAUGGAGUGACAGAAAGAUUUCAUCAAAAAUAUCUUCAGUUGUGUUCCCCGUGUCUUGCGGGGUUGGAAUGACAUGAGGACUACUUCCAAAAUUGUGUUUCCACAUCUGAGAUGAAGGCAGUGAAAAG